UGAAACAUCUUAGUACCCGGAGGAAGAGAAAGAAAAUUCGAUUCCCUUAGUAGCGGCGAGCGAAACGGGAAGAGCCCAAACCAACAAGCUUGCUUGUUGGGGUUGUAGGACACUCUAUACGGAGUUACAAAGGACGACAUUAGACGAAUCAUCUGGAAAGAUGAAUCAAAGAAGGUAAUAAUCCUGUAGUCGAAAAUGUUGUCUCUCUUGAGUGGAUCCUGAGUACGACGGAGCACGUGAAAUUCCGUCGGAAUCUGGGAGGACCAUCUCCUAAGGCUAAAUACUCUCUAGUGACCGAUAGUGAACCAGUACCGUGAGGGAAAGGUGAAAAGCACCCCGGAAGGGGAGUGAAAUAGAACCUGAAACCGUGUGCUUACAAGUAGUCAGAGCCCGUUAAUGGGUGAUGGCGUGCCUUUUGUAGAAUGAACCGGCGAGUUACGAUUUGAUGCAAGGUUAAGCAGUAAAU
rnacentral:rRNA from 1 species